rnacentral:rRNA from 1 species
GACGAACGCUGGCGGCGUGCCUAAUACAUGCAAGUCGUACGGAAAGGCCCUUCGGGGUACUCGAGUGGCGGACGGCUGAGUAACGCGUGGGAACGUGCCCCAAAGUGAGGGAUAACGCACCGAAAGGUGUGCUAAUACCGCAUAUGGUCUUCGGAUUAAAGCUUCGGCGCUUUGGGAGCGGCCCGCGUACGAUUAGAUAGUUGGUGAGGUAAUGGCUCACCGAGUCGACGAUCGUUAGCUGGUCUGAGAGGAUGAUCAGCCAGACUGGGACUGAGACACGGCCCAGACUCCUACGGGAGGCAGCAGUAAGGAAUCUUCCACAAUGGGGGCAACCCUGAUGGAGCAACGCCGCGUGCAGGAUGAAGGUUUUCGGAUCGUAAACUGCUUUUAUAAGUGAAGAAUAUGACGGCAACUUAUGAAUAAGGAUCGGCUAACUACGUGCCAGCAGCCGCCGUAACAC